ensembl:lncRNA
UGAUGAACGCUGCCUCACAGGUGAGGAUGAGGAUGAUGUAGCAGUCACAGGGGCAGGUGAUGAACUUUUCCUCACAGGUGAGGAUGAGGAUGAUGUAGCAGUAACAGGAGCAGGUGAUGAACGUUUCCUCACAGGUGAGGAUGAGGAUGAUGUAGCAGUCACAGGGGCAGGUGAUGAACUUUUCCUCACAGGUGAGGAUGAGGAUGAUGUAGCAGUCACAGGGGCAGGUGAUGAACUUUUCCUCACAGGUGAGGAUGAAGAUGAUGUAGCAGUCACACGAGCAGGUGAUGAACUUUUCCUCACAGGUGAGGAUGAGGAUGAUGUAGCAGUCACAGGGGCAGAUGAUGAACUUUUCCUCACAGGUGAGGAUGAGGAUGAUGUAGCAGUCACAGGGGCAGGUGAUGAACGUUUCCUCACAGGUGAGGAUGAGGAUGAUGUAGCAGUCACAGGGGCAGGUGAUGAACGUUUCCUCACAGUUGAGGAUGAGGAUGAUGUAGCAGUCACAGGGGCAGGUGAUGAACUUUUCCUCACAGAUGAGGAUGAGGAUGAUGUAGCAGUAACAGGGGCAGGUGAUGAACUUUUCCUCACAGGUGAGGAUGAGGAUGAGGAUGAUGUAGCAGUCACAGGAGCAGGUGAUGAACGCUGCACAGAAGACCAAAGACACAAAAAAAAUACCACAGAUGUAAACAAAAAGUAAAUAUAAAUGCUUGCUUAAUUCAAAGUGCAUUGAUUUAGUUUAAGGGCAAGACAAAUGCAUUUGGAACAAAUAAUGUUUAAAA